AGCGCGGACGGUUAUUUAAGCAAGAUGUGAAAGCCCCGGGCUCAACCUGGGAACUGCGUUUUGAACUGGGUAACUAGAGUGUGUCAGAGGGGGGUAGAAUUCCACGUGUAGCAGUGAAAUGCGUAGAGAUGUGGAGGAAUACCGAUGGCGAAGGCAGCCCCCUGGGAUAACACUGACGUUCAUGCUCGAAAGCGUGGGUAGCAAACA
rnacentral:rRNA from 1 species